rnacentral:rRNA from 1 species
UACCAGCACCCCGAGUGGUCGGGACGAUUAUUGGGCCUAAAGCAUCCGUAGCCGGUUUUACAAGUCCUCCGUUAAAUCCAGCUGCUUAACAGAUGGGCUGCGGAGGAUACUAUAAGACUAGGAGGCAGGAGAGGCAAGCGGUACUCAGUGGGUAGGGGGUAAAAAUCCGUUGAUCCAUUGAAGACCACCAGUGGCGAAGGCGGCUUGCCAGAAUGCGCUCGACGGUGAGGGGAUGAAAGCUGGGGGGAGCAAACCGG